CCCGGCGACCGGCGCACGGGUGAGUAACACGUAUGCAACCUGCCCUCUUCAGGGGGACAACCUUCCGAAAGGGAGGCUAAUCCCGCGUAUAUCGGUUUCGGGCAUCCGAGAUCGAGGAAAGAUUCAUCGGAAGAGGAUGGGCAUGCGGCGCAUUAGCUAGACGGCGGGGUAACGGCCCACCGUGGCGACGAUGCGUAGGGGUUCUGAGAGGAAGGUCCCCCACACUGGUACUGAGACACGGACCAGACUCCUACGGGAGGCAGCAG
rnacentral:rRNA from 1 species